CGGGGCCUUUUAUAGCUGACUAUGCGGUAUGGGCUUUGCUCAUUGUUGAAGGCCGUACGGUGACCUAUAGUUGUUAAUGUCUGUGUCAUUUUGGUCUUUUGUGGAUAGUUGUCUCAUUGGCAAUCAUACCACAUCUUCUUUUUAGCUCACCUGGCCCAAAGGGCCAAGUGAGCUUUUCUCAUCACUUGGCGUCCGGCGUCCGGCGUCCGUCGUCCGUCGUCCGUCGUCGUCGUCCGUCGUUAACUUUUACAAAAAUCUUCUCCUCUGAAACUACUGGGCCAAUUUUUACCAAACUUGGCCACAAUCAUUAUUAGGGUAUCUAGUUUAAAAUUGUGUCCGGUGACCCGGCCAACCAACCAAGAUGGCCACCAUGGCUAAAAAUAGAACAUAGGGGUAAAAUGCAGUUUUUGGCUUAUAACUCAAAAACCAAAGCAUUUAGAGCAAAUCUGACAUGGGGUAAAAUUGUUAAUCAGGUCAAGAUCUAUUUGCCCUGAAAUUUUGAGAUGAAUCGGACAACCCGUUGAUAGGUUGCUGCCCCUGAAUUGGUAAUUUUAAGGAAAUUUUGCUGUUUUUGGUUAUUAUCUUGAAUAUUAUCAUAGAUAGAGAUAAACUGUACACAGCAAAAAUGUUCAGUAAAGUAAGAUCUACAAAUAAGUCAACAUGACCAAAAUGGUCUGUUGACCCCUUUAGGAGUUAUUGCCCUUUAUAGUCAAUUUUUAACCAUUUUACGUAAAUCUUAGUCAUCUUUUACAAAAAUCUUCUCCUCUGAAACUACUUGGCCAAAUUAAACCAAACUUGACCACAAUCAUCAUUGGGGUAUCUAGUUAAAAAAUUGUGUCCGGUGACCUGGUCAACCAACCAAGAUGGCCGCCAUGGCUAAAAAUAGAACAUAGGGGUAAAAUGCAGUUUUUGGCUUAUCACUCAAAAACCAAAGCAUUCAGAGCAAAUCUGACAUUGGGUAAAAUUGUUUAUCAGGUCAAGAUCUAUCUGCCCUGAAAUUUUGAGAUGAAUUGGACAACCCGUUGAUAGGUUGCUGCCCCUGAAUUGGUAAUUUUAAGGACAUUUUGCUGUUUUUGGUUAUUAUCUUGAAUAUUAUUAUAGAUAGAGAUAAACUGUACACAGCAAAAAUGUUCAGCAAAGUAAGAUCUACAAACAAGUCAACAAGACCAAAAUGGUCUGUUGAUUUCUUUAGGAGUUAUUGCCCUUUAUAGUCAAUUUUUAACCAUUUUUCGUAAAUCUUAGUUAUCUUUUACAAAAAUCUUCUCCUCUGAAACUACUGGGCCAAAUUAAACCAAACUUAGCCUCAAUCAUCAUUGGGGUAUCUAGUUUAAAAAUUGUGUCCCGUGACCUGGCUUACCAACCAAGAUGGCCGCCAUUGCUAAAAAUAGAACAUAGGGGUGAAAUGUAGAUUUUGGCUUAAAACUCUGAAACCGCAGCCUUUAGAGCAAAUCUGACAUGGGGUAAAAUUGUUUAUCAGGUCAACAUCUAUCUGCCCUGAAAUUUUCAGAUGAAUCUGACAACCUGUUGUUGGGUUGCUGCCCCUGAAUUGGUAAUUUUAAGGAAAUUUUGCUGUUUUUGGUUAUUAUCUUGAAUAUUAUUAUAGAUAGAGAUAAACUGUAAACAUCAAUAAUGUUAAGCAAAGUAAGAUUUACAAAUAAGUCAACAUGACGGAAAUGGUCAAUUGACCCCUAAGGAGUUAUUGUCCUUUAUAUAGUCAAUUUUUAACAAUUUUCAUAAAAUUUGUAAAUUUUAACUAACAUUUUCCACUGAAACUACUGGGCCAAGUUCAUUAUAGAUAGAGAUAAUUGUAAGUAGCAAG
rnacentral:lncRNA from 1 species